GGCGAGGCCGGAGCCCCAAAGCGACCGGGAGAACGAGCGGGUAGCGGGCCCAGGGCGGGGCGCAGAGCUGGGCAGCGCAGGUGCCCCGUUCUUCAGCCAGCUUGCCUACUCACUUUCCUGGGCGCUCCUCCACGAUUUCCUGCCUCUCCACCUUUGCUAAUGCUAUUCUCUGUGCCUGGGACGAUACCUUUGACUCAUCUUCGACUGACCUAAUGGAGAGAGCUGGGGCUCUGGAGGCAGAGAGACCUGGGUUUGGAUUUUGGCUUCACCCUUAUUACUUGGACAAGUACUUUGGAAAAGCAUUUAACAUUCUGGAGCCUCCCUCGGUUUCCUAAUCUGUAAAAACGGAGAUAAUGACACCUACCUUGCAGGGUUGUUGUAAGGGUUAACUGAAAUUAUGUGUAUACUGCAAUUAACGUAUAGUCAAUAAAUGACACAUCGCUGUU
rnacentral:lncRNA from 1 species